UACGUAGGGGGCAAGCGUUGUCCGGAAUCAUUGGGCGUAAAGAGCGUGUAGGCGGCCUGAUAAGUCGGCUGUGAAAGUCAAGGGCUCAACCCUUGAAUGCCGGCCGAUACUGUCAGGCUAGAGUCCGGAAGAGGCGAGUGGAAUUCCUGGUGUAGCGGUGAAAUGCGCAGAGUAUCAGGAGGAACACCUAUGGCGAAGGCAGCUCGCUGGGACGGUACUGACGCUGAGACGCGAAAGCGUGGGGAGCGAACAGG
rnacentral:rRNA from 1 species